rnacentral:rRNA from 1 species
GACGAACGCUGGCGGCGUGCUUAACACAUGCAAGUCGAACGGAAAGGCCUCUUUCGGGGGGUACUCGAGUGGCGAACGGGUGAGUAACACGUGAGUAACCUGCCCUUGACUUUGGGAUAACUUCAGGAAACUGGGGCUAAUACCGGAUAGCAGAUCCUGCUGCAUGGUGGGGGUUGGAAAGUUUCGGCGGUUGGGGAUGGACUCGCGGCUUAUCAGCUUGUUGGUGGGGGAGUGGCUUACCAAGGCGUUGACGGGUAGCCGGCCGUUGAGGGUGAGCGGCCACACUGGGACUGAGAGACGGCCCAGGCUCCGACGGGAGGCAGCAGUGGGGAAUAUUGCACAAGGGGUGGAAGCCUGAUGCAGCAACGCCGUGUGCGGGAUGACGGCCUUCGGGUUGUAAACCGCUUUCGCUCAUGACGAAGCUUUGUGUGACGGUAGUGGGUAAAGAAGCACCGGCUAACUACGUG